UCAACGUCGCUAAAUGACACGAAGAAUCAACAUGUUUUCGAGGCAGCGUCGUGCACCGCUCGAUCGUUCUGUUUGAGCAUACCAAAAUGUUUAUUUUAACGUGCCAAUCACCGCACCGUAACCAGAUGAACACACAGACGACAUGGAGAAUCGACACGUUUUCAAGACAACAUUGAGCAGAGAGCGAUUCAGUGGUUACUGGUCUCCAGUUACACAUACCAUGAAGUGCUAUACGUACACGUCUGAUGCUAUCUAUGUUUGGAUAUACUCUUCGUACUGAUUUUACAUUAUUUAUUAUUUUUAUUAUUUAAAUAUUAUUAGAGGAUAUAUUGGUUAAAUUAAAGCAUGAACGCGUAAUUAAACGCUUUGAGUAAAACCACCAAUUUAUAUCAAUUGUAAAUGGCACUAGU